GAGGGUGUAGCUCAGAGGUAGAGCACAUGCUUAGCACACACGAGGUCCUGGGUUCAAUCUCCAGUAUCUCCA
rnacentral:tRNA from 1 species